GGCUAACUCGGUGGCAGCAGCAGCGGUAAAGCAGAGGGUGGAAGGGUUAAUCGGAAUGACUGGGCGUAAAGGGCGCGUAGGUGGUUCAGUAAGAUGGGGGGGAAAGCCCCGGGCUUAACCUGGGAACUGCUUUCAUAACUGCUGAGCUAGAGUACGGUAGAGGGUAGUGGAAUUUCCUGUGUAGCGGUGAAAUGCGUAGAUAUAGGAAGGAACACCAGUGGCGAAGGCGACUACCUGGACUGAUACUGACACUGAGGUGCGAAAGCGUGGGGAGCAAACAGGAUAGAUACCCUAGUAGUC
rnacentral:rRNA from 1 species